UACGUAGGCAGCGAGCGUUGUUCGGAAUUACUGGGCGUAAAGAGUGUGUAGGCGGUGUUCCCAGUCUGUUGUGAAAUCGCCCGGCUCAACUGGGCGGGGUCAGCGGAUACGGCGGAGCUUGAGCAAGCUAGGGGGCAAUGGAAUUCCCGGUGUAGUGGUGGAAUGCGUAGAUAUCGGGAGGAACACCAGUGGCGAAGGCGGUUGCCUGGGGCUUUGCUGACGCUGAUGCGCGAAAGCGUGGGGAGCGAUCCGG
rnacentral:rRNA from 1 species